rnacentral:rRNA from 1 species
GACAGAGGGUGCAAACGUUGUUCGGAUUUACUGGGCGUAAGGCGCGUGUAGGCGGCUUGGCAAGUCGGAUGUGAAAGCCCACGGCUCAACCGUGGAAGCGCAUCCGAAACUGCUUCGCUUGAGUCUCGGAGAGGAAGGUGGAAUGCUUGGUGUAGAGGUGAAAUUCGUAGAUAUCAAGCAGAACACCUGCGGCGAAGGCGGCCUUCUGGACGAUGACUGACGCUGAGACGCGAAAGCGUGGGGAGCAAACAGG